rnacentral:rRNA from 1 species
UACAGAGGGGGCAAGCGUUGUUCGGAAUUACUGGGCGUAAAGGGCGCGUAGGCGGCCGCCUAAGUCAGACGUGAAAUCCCUCGGCUUAACCGGGGAACUGCGUCCGAUACUGGAUGGCUUGAGUAUGGGAGAGGGAUGCGGAAUUCCAGGUGUAGCGGUGAAAUGCGCAGAUAUCAGGAGGAACACCGGUGGCGAAGGCGGGUCUCUGGGCCGAUACUGACGCUGAGGAGCGAAAGCGUGGGGAGCGAACAGG